UGCGAGCAUUGGAGGAGGGUGACUGGAGGUUAUUAGAAACCCUUGGAAUGCCAAAUAGAUCUGAGGAUUCUGGGGGUAACCGGGGAGCUGUUACACUCCAUCCGCAGGCUGUGCCAGAAGUUCAGGAUGGUACUGGUUCCCCAAAAGAGAUCCAAGCUUUCCCAGUGUAUAAGGCUCUCCCAGAUUCAGGGGAGCAUGACAAGCAUGAGGUAAUUGCUUGGAAAGUUGCCCAGGACCUCCAAUCCAAGGUGGCACAAUAUGGGCUAGGUUCUGCUGAGGUUAUGCAGAUAAUAAGGGUGAUAAAUACAGAUUUACUUGCUCCAUUUGAUAUCAGACACUUAGGUCAAAUUCUAUUUCAACCUGUACAAUUUACAGUUUUUGAGAAAACCUGGAGAAAGCUGGCCGGCAAGGCUGCAUUAGCGAAUAUGCAGCUCCCUGCUGCGGAUCCUAGACAGACAGCAGGAAUGGAUGCUUUGAUGGGGACUGGUCCCUUCUCUGAUCCCAGUCUACAGGGUAACUUGUCCUCUAGCGUCCUGCAGCAAGCUCAACAGGUUGGCAUGGCUGCCCUGUUGAAAACCAUAGAGCUGCCUGUGCCCAGAAAGCGAUAUACUGAAAUAGUUCAAGGCAAAUCAGAGUCAUUCCUCUCUUUUGUAGAGAAAGUCGCUACUUCUCUCGAGAAGCAGGUUGAGGAUGACGGGUUAAGACAGUUGUUGUUAAGGCAGUUAGUGAGAGAUAACGCAAACAAGAAGUGCAGAAAAAUCAUAGAUGCCUUACCAGGGGAUCCUGAGGUAACAGACAUGGUCGAAGCCUGCGCUAAGGUGGGAUCUGGGAACCAGAAAAGGUCUGCUUUGGCUGCAUUCCUGAAGUCUGUUCACACAUCUUCUGGUCGUGAACCAAAGCAACCAAAACAGGUGAAGAAACGGAAGCGGCCUAAGCCUAGCCAAAAAGAGAACACACCGAUCCCCCAGUGCAAGAGGUGUGGCAGGGCAUUGCUUGGACUAUUGUAGAUCCCAGACUCAUGCCGAUGGUCGGCCGUUGCCGGGAAACUUCCACC
rnacentral:lncRNA from 1 species